GGAGAUGAUAAGGCUAUCAUGGACGACGAUGACGGUUCUUGACGGCACGAUGACGGAAUAUUCCUUGACACCGUCGAGAGAAUUGAGAAUAUUCUCAAUCAGAGGAACCUCAGAUGUACAGCAGAUUCCAAGAACAUCAAAAGAAGCAAGAACGUUUUGGGGAAUGCACGUAACGUGUUUCGAGAAAAGAUGAGUGAUAACAUUGUCUUUAUGUUCACUCUACACUUGGCGGAAACAAAGGAAACAAAAUUUUGGGGAAUGAGUUUUGAGUUUUCUCUUACCGAAACUCUUUAUCAUUUCGAAGAAAAAAGACAAAAGAUUAAAGCAGAUAGAUCAUUGCAAAGGUAUUAAAGAUAAUAUCAUAUAGUGAUUAAUCACUAAAAAAAAAUUAGAUAAAGAAAGAGUCACAAAAACAAUGCGAGAGAGAAAGGAGACGAGCGUUUCAAAAUUCGUCAUGAAAUGUAUGUGAAGCAGACAGGAGAAGUAGAAUACCGGAGAUGGAGACAGAGCUAGCAGAGAGGGACAGAGAACAAUGAUCAGACCGGUUUAGUUUGGUUUAAUUCGGUUUGUGUACUUUGAUGUAGAGAUGAUGAUUUAAGGGUGAAAGAAGAUGUAAGUGGCGGUUGCUUUUUAUAGGCAAAUUUGUUAAAGUGGGAUUCAAAGAUCAUUGGUGGUUUUAGGUAACUUGUUUACCAUAAUAAUGUGCUUCCAAAUUGUUUUUUUUUUUGUAUGUGUGUGUGUAAAGAAUCGUCAAAUAUAUUACCUUAAUAAUGUAAAUUCCUUAGUAAUGUCAGUGUUAGGCUGCUUCUUCUGAUUCCUAUUCUCUCAAAUCUCAAAUGUUCCAAUUAAUUUUGUAAUUUUAUAAUUUAUCUUUUUAAUGUAUAGUAGAAAAGUGAAAUUCGAUUUUAUUCUCUGGAAUAAAAAUAUUGGUGGAGAUCUGUAGCUUUGAUUUAUGGUUCAUUUUGGUAAAACAUUUAACGAUUUCAACUUGUAGUGUCGUAUAUUCCCAACCCCCAC